rnacentral:tRNA from 1 species
GCGCGCUGAGCCACUAAACGCACCUUGACACGGUGGGGGUCACUGGUUCGAAACCAGUAUCGCGCACCA